GCCAUAUGGUAUACGGUAUUUAUAGUUUAGUAUGUUUUCCGUGUAUGUGUGCUAAAGCCUGCUUCAGGGAUUUGUUAUGGUCCUUGUGUUUACAGGAUUUGGGUCUUGGGUGAAAGAAGAAACUGACAGCUGCUAAUGUUUGAUUUAAACUGAUAUAUUGGAGGCCACAUGGGUGAUCUCUAAUUAAAGUCAAUUUACACUUUCUGUCCUUCACCAGGGAGGCUGUUGGGGCUCCCCAGGACCAGACCUUGUGUCCACCUAGAUCUGCUACCUCUGAUACCUUAUGCCUCAUGCUCUACAACAGCGCCGGAGGAGCCACUGGGACUUGGACAACAGCGACUCAGGCUGAAGCAGGAUGAGCAUAUGCUGCGAGCGGGAAAGGACCGCGUAAUGUAAACGGAGGUUUCAUUAGCGAUGAUACGUGGCAGUCCCCGGGUGAAGGAAGAGAAAGGAAAUCUGGGAGCACCUGUAGACUUUGCAGGCUUCUACCCACGUGGAAGAGGCACGUGCAGGGAUGUACUGAGGGCAACGGUGGGAACUGCUCUUCCCUCUUAGUCUCCUCUUGGGCCUCCCUGUAAAUGCAUGUUUGCCACGCUCAGGCGGUUGGGAUGCAGAAUGAGUCCCUCUGCAUCUGGCCUCCAGAAACCAGUUUUUGCAAAC